rnacentral:ribozyme from 1 species
AAUAAAACAAAGAAAAAAGAAAAAAGAAAAGAUAAAAAAUGAAAGAUAACACCAGUUCACAUAUGCA